GGGUGGGAGUGACCAGGUGCCGUCCAUCACCCCUUUCUUUGAUUAGGACAGGGAACUCCCUGACCCCUUGCGCUUCCCAAGUGAGGCAAUGCCUCGCCCUGCUUCGGGUCGUGCACGGUGCGCGCACCCACUGACCUGCACCCACUGUCUGGCACUCCCUAGUGAGAUGAACCCGGUACCUCAGAUGGAAAUGCAGAAAUCACCCGUCUUCUGCGUCGCUCAGGCUCGAAAGCACUGUAUUUUAUGGCGAAAUGUUGAAAGCUAUGCUUGAAAUGGAAAUAGGUGCAGUGGAUGAGAUACUGUUUGAUAACAUGAGAAGACCAACAAGAUCAGAACAGAAACCCUCAGGCUACAAAUACAUGGAAAUAGCAAAUAGUGCCACCACGCCCAGCUAAUUUAUUUUGUAUUUUUCGGGGUCUCACCAUCUUGGCCAGGCUGGUCUUGAACUCCUUACCUUGUGAAACACCCACCUUGGCCUCCCAAACUGCUGGGAAUACAGGCAUGAGCCACCACACCGGGCCAAUACAUAGUUUUUUAUAAAGAGAUAUUCGCCUGUGAAAGAAAUUGAAUCCAUGGUUGUC
rnacentral:lncRNA from 1 species